GUCAACGUCUUGGUUCCCAUUAUUUCUCAUUUUUAUAUGUUAUCCAUUCAUCUACCUUAAUUAAUUAUUUUGCACCUUCAUUUGAUGUCUAGUUUUUUACCCCCAUAUAUAACAACUCCUCCAACAGACAGUGCUAACUGCUUCUGACUCUUGUUUCUCAAAUACUUUCAUAGAACAUGAAAGCACGUGCAGUGGCUAAUCAUCAUAUUGCAAGAGUCACCUCUCAUCUUCAGUGACCCACUUUCAAGGAUGGUGGUGAUGUUCUUGUUGAGAGGGAUGAGUGCAGGGGAAAAGGAGGGGCACCGGGAUUCAAGGUCUCAGGACAAACCUCCUAUGUACUAAGUUAGCAAAUAAUUAUUAUACACGAUGAUGGAGCCAGAUUAUUAACCAAUUCCGUGAAUAGUUGAGGACUUAGCAGACCCCAUUGAUUGAGGCCCUUGUUAUAAACUUUACACAAAAUUCUUCUAUGAGUUCACUGUCAAACCAAGACUGAAGGAGGGUGGCAUAUUUGUGACACAGGUACUAUAAGACCAAUGUCCAUAAUAUUCAGGUUAACCGAGGUCUUUUCAUCUAUCUACAACACAUUGAGACAGGUUUUAAGUGCUUCAGAUUUUUCAUUAAAGCUGAAUGCAGAAGAGAUAGACCUGAGAAUAAAACAAAGGAUUAAGGGGCAAAGCAGUCUCCAGCUAGAACAAGCUAAAACAGUCUUCAGAUUUUCCACAAUUUUCUUUAUAUAGAUUGGAGGAAAAAAUUUCUAAUUCAGAGUCAAAAAACCAAGUUCUUUGCCAGCAAGCAUUGGCUGUAUCACCGACUGGAAAAGCUUGGACUACAAGAUUAAUACCUGAGGUAUAUAAGGAUGUGGUGGUGGUGAUCAAGUGGCGGGCUGAGAAGGUCUCCACAUGAGCUCAAUCUGAAGGCGACCAUUCUUGGAAUCUAUGAGAUGAUAUCUCUCAUUGAUUCUCUUGUUAGUAACAACAUCAGCAAGAGAGAUGUCAGCGUAACCGAGAGACUCCUUCUGACGAAGCAAAUUACGGGAAGAAGUGCUAACAACCUCCACAUGUAAUUUGUCGUUAGUGGGAGGCUCCUCCACCACAAACUGGAACUCCUCUUCCCACCGUGGGUCUCUGUUCUUCUUCACGUGUUUGGUUUUCCUCUCCUCUCCCCUGAAAAUGAGGCGUACUUGUGGAUUCGUGUGGUACUUUCCUUCCACGUCUUGUGCCUCAUGGACUACAACUACAAGCAAUCCUCCACCUGGAGGAGUCCCUUCUGGAGCUUUAUCCAUCAUCAUCAUCUCUGUCUCUUCAAACCCUUUCCCCAUCUCUUCCUCCUUGAAAGCCUUAUAUGUUAAUUCCAUAACUAUCUGACCUCGGGACUUGUCAUUUGCCGCAUCAUUCGAAUCCAUGUUCUUCAGCAGAUCCAGUGUUACAACCUUUGUUUCUUCCUCUUUCAACUCUUUCAGAGCCACCACAUUCGUACCCAUAAAAUCAUGCCUCCCGACCUGCUCCCAGUCAUACACUUCAAACUCUAGUGUCUGUGUUUCUGGAUCCUUCACUAGCAAAUUAAAUUCUUCAUUCCAUUCUGGGUUCAAGUUCUUGUGCUUCACCGUUGUCUUUUUCGCUGGCAUAUUGUCCCCAGAAAGCUUUAUCUUCACAUAAGGGUCAGAUGCACCAAGAAGAUCUUUCUUCUUUAGCUUCAUUGCUCUCACUACUUUUACAACUAAAAUUCCAAUAGCCCUCCUCAUUGCUCUAACAUUUCA